rnacentral:rRNA from 13 species
UUUGCCAGCGCGUUAUGGCGGGAACUCUAAGGAGACUGCCGGUGAUAAACCGGAGGAAGGUGGGGACGACGUCAAGUCAUCAUGGCCCUUACGGGAUGGGCUACACACGUGCUACAAUGGCAGGUACAGAGGGCAGCAAUACCGCGAGGUGGAGCGAAUCCCACAAAGCUUGUCGUAGUCCGGAUUGGAGUCUGCAACUCGACUCCAUGAAGUCGGAAUCGCUAGUAAUCGUAGAUCAGAAUGCUACGGUGAAUACGUUCCCGGGCCUUGUACACACCGCCCGUCACACCAUGGGAGUGGGAUGCAAAAGAAGUGGCUAGUCUAACCUUCGGGAGGACGGUCACCACUUUGUGUUUCAUGACUGGGGUGAAGUCGUAACAAGGUAACCCUAGGGGAACCUGGGGUUGGAUCACCUCCUU